rnacentral:tRNA from 1 species
GGUAGAGUUGACUAAGGGUUAGUUACUAGACUCAUGAUCUAGAGAUGUGGGUUCGAGUCCUGCCUCUACAC